ACUCAUACCUUGCAAGGGAAAUAUCAUGUCAUAAAUGUAGUUUUCCUAGGAUGAGGCUCAUCCAUUGCACUUUGGGUGUGCUUAUCCUUAUGAUUUCCCCAAAUGUGGGGAACUCAACUGUAUAAGUUAUGUUAAUGGGGGAUUAUGUUUGUGAUUUCCCUCC
rnacentral:snRNA from 1 species